UACGUAGGGUGCGAGCGUUAAUCGGAAUUACUGGGCGUAAAGCGUGCGCAGGCGGUUAUUUAAGUCAGGGGUGAAAGCCCUGGGCUUAACCUAGGAAUUGCGCUUGAGACUGGAUAGCUUGGAGUGCGGCAGAGGGAGGUGGAAUUCCACGUGUAGCAGUGAAAUGCGUAGAGAUGUGGAGGAACACCGACGGCGAAGGCAGCCUCCUGGGCCAGCACUGACGCUCAUGCACGAAAGCGUGGGGAGCAAACAGG
rnacentral:rRNA from 1 species